ensembl:snoRNA
CUGCCGUGAUGGGAACGUUUUUCGUCAGCAGCAUCUCACCGCAGUGAAUGGUGACUCCUGUGGGCUGAGCAG